AGUGAACGCUGGCGGUAGGCCUAACACAUGCAAGUCGAACGGCAGCACAGUAAGAGCUUGCUCUUACGGGUGGCGAGUGGCGGACGGGUGAGGAAUACAUCGGAAUCUACUUUUUCGUGGGGGAUAACGUAGGGAAACUUACGCUAAUACCGCAUACGACCUAACGGUGAAAGCAGGGGAUCUUCGGACCUUGCGCGAUUGAAUGAGGCGAUGUCGGAUUAGCUAGUUGGCGGGGUAAAGGCCCACCAAGGCGACGAUCCGUAGCUGGUCUGAGAGGAUGAUCAGCCACACUGGAACUGAGACACGGUCCAGACUCCUACGGGAGGCAGCAGUGGGGAAUAUUGGACAAUGGGCGCAAGCCUGAUCCAGCCAUACCGCGUGGGUGAAGAAGGCCUUCGGGUUGUAAAGCCCUUUUGUUGGGAAAGAAAAGCAGCAGGUUAAUACCCCGCUGUUCUGACGGUACCCAAAGAAUAAGCACCGGCUAACUUCGUG
rnacentral:rRNA from 1 species